GAGUUUGAUCUUGGCUCAGAUUGAACGCUGGCGGCAGGCCUAACACAUGCAAGUCGAGCGGAUGACGGGAGCUUGCUCCUUGAUUCAGCGGCGGACGGGUGAGUAAUGCCUAGGAAUCUGCCUGGUAGUGGGGGACAACGUUUCGAAAGGAACGCUAAUACCGCAUACGUCCUACGGGAGAAAGCAGGGGACCUUCGGGCCUUGCGCUAUCAGAUGAGCCUAGGUCGGAUUAGCUAGUUGGUGGGGUAAUGGCUCACCAAGGCGACGAUCCGUAACUGGUCUGAGAGGAUGAUCAGUCACACUGGAACUGAGACACGGUCCAGACUCCUACGGGAGGCAGCAGUGGGGAAUAUUGGACAAUGGGCGAAAGCCUGAUCCAGCCAUGCCGCGUGUGUGAAGAAGGUCUUCGGAUUGUAAAGCACUUUAAGUUGGGAGGAAGGGCAGUAAGUUAAUACCUUGCUGUUUUGACGUUACCGUACAGAAUAAGCACCGGCUAACUCUGUGCCAGCCGCCG
rnacentral:rRNA from 1 species